GGGAACUGAAGAGGUUUUCAGAUUUCGCUCUUAAGUGUUUUACUCAGUUGAAUUGUAUUAAAUGCGUCAUUCGCUCUCUCAAAAAGUCACUUAAAAAAAAAAAAAUAAUAAUUGACCGCGUAGUUUUUGAGUUAUGGCCAUAGCAACACCAUAGCAACGAGGGACGCGCCGUCCUGCCGACCCCUACCUCGUGACGUAACUUCCAGGAAGCCUCGCCACCACUCUGAACACGGAAAUAUAGCACCACGCUAUCCUCGCCAUAUAUUGCAAACAUUUUCUGGGUUUUACUCGCGGGAUUCGUCAUGCCAUCUCGAUGUGUAGCGAUAUGAAUUACUCACAGGAAGACUCGAGACUCUAGGAGUGGUCCAAAAAAAAAAACUUCUCCUGCAAAGCCACGACAGCUUUGAAAACCUACAACAAUGCAACCUUGGUUUUCCAAAGACGAAGCCAAACAUAAAAAAUUAAGUGGCGGAAACCCUCAACACGAUGAAAAAAGCGUUGCAAGUCAGUUGCCACCCAGUUUCCCAAAAUCAAGAGAGAGUGGGUCGAGUCAUAUGAUGACCGAAGUGAUGCGGUGUCCAGCGAUGACGACUGAAGAGAUCCUAUGAGGCCUGCCAGAUGCUGAAUUUCUUCCGUCUGCGACAUCAGAUGACGAUGAUUUAGGAGAAAUAAAUGUAGCAAAUUUUGAUGACAUGAAAUCAUAAACUAGUCAUAUAUACAGUACACAUUUUUUUAAAGAAAAAUCAAGUUACCUUCAUAUUUUAAUGAUAAUGCAUUAUCUUUGUAUAGAGAACACUUCAUGCUACAGAAAAGAGUAAAUACAUAUUUCCCACUGCCGUUAUCAUUUUUCAAUGUUCCGCUAGUCCGUUGCUAUCCUAACUUUGUGUUGCUUACUGAAAUUAUGCUCUUUGAUGUGUGCCGUUGUGUGCUUGGUAUAACAUGUUGUGUCACAAUCUGACAACGAAAGCUAAUGCUGAUUCAACAUAAACCUGGUAUCAUUAUUGCGGCCUAUUGAAUAUUUUUUCAGAAUGUAAUAUAAUUACAAUAUUUUAUAUAACAAUAGAAUACAUUAAACAGUCAACAAAAUGUGUCAAUGUUGUUAACAAUUUAUGGUUUUAUUUUUUUUAAUGAAAUUCAUGCCCCUGUCAGUGCUUCAGCCUCUGCAAGUUUGGCUCUCACGUCUGGGAUCUCCUGAUGACACAGGCAUACUCUUGGAAGGGUAAUUACUUGAUGGUUUACAGCAACACCUGGAAAAUAAAAUGGUUUUGUCAUUUAUUUUAAAAUACCAAUAACAUUUCAUUCAUUUAGCCACAUUUGGGCUAGCUUUACCAUAUUUAGAUCGGUAGGAGCUGUCCCAUUACCUAAUAUCCAGUUUUAGCUAUGUGUAGAGCAUGGAAAAAUAUACAACCAUGUAAUCGCAUUCUAAUAAAAAAAAUCACGAUGCUGGACUUACCACUCACUCUCCCGUUCGUGAAGUGUCGAGCUGUCAAUUGGCAUCAUGACGCCAUCUGCUGUGUCAAGUAAAUCGCCGUCAUCUGACGCCUCAGGUUCAAACAUGUAGGGAUUAAUUGUAGUUCAUCUUUCCUGGGAGCCUUUGCCAUCGGUAGCGUCACGAAAGAGCGAUCCUGAAUGGUUACCUUUGGUGGAAAUAUCACUGACAUCGUUGUUGCUGCUAUGUUAGCUGUGGGUAGUCUUCUGUUGCCUACGUCACACUUCCGGGUUUGCGAAGGGACCAUUAACGGAGUGCAAAAAAAAUAAAAAAACGCAAAUUAUCCUUACAAUUACGUGUUGAUAAUGUCAUGGUUGUUUUGAGGAACUUGUCCCAAGUUUAUAUUCAUAAAAUUACACCAAAAUCCGGAAAGGUCUUCAGUU